rnacentral:tRNA from 1 species
GGAGAGAUACCCAAGUCAGGCAAGGGGGCCGGAGGCUAUCUGGUUAUACAUGGGUUCAAAUCCCAUUCUCUCCA